GACGAACGCUGGCGGCGUGCUUAACACAUGCAAGUCGAACGGAAAGGCCCUGCUUUUGUGGGGUGCUCGAGUGGCGAACGGGUGAGUAACACGUGAGUAACCUGCCCUUGACUUUGGGAUAACUUCAGGAAACUGGGUCUUAUACCGGAUAGGAUCUACUGCUGCAUGGUGGGGCUUGGAAAGUUUCGGUGGUUGGGGAUGGACUCGCGGCUGAUCAGUUUGUUGGUGGGGUAGUGGCUUACUAUGGCUUUGACGGGUAGCCGUCCUGAGAGGGUGAUCGGACAAAUUGGAAGUGAGAUGCGGCCCAGAAUCGUACGGGAAGCAUCAGUGGGGAAUAUUGCACAAUGGGCGGAAGCCUAGUGCAGCAACGCCGCGUGCGGGAUGACGGGCUUCGGGUUGUAAACCACAUUCGCCUGAUACGAAGCGUUAGUGACGGUAACGAGUAAAGAAGCACCGGCUAACUCCGUG
rnacentral:rRNA from 1 species